AGGGCACCACCAGGAGUGGAGCCUGCGGCUUAAUUUGACUCAACACGGGGAAACUUACCCGGCCUGGACACUGGAAGGAUUGACAGAUUGAGAGCUCCUUCUUGAUUCAGUGGGUGGUGGUGCAUGGCCGUUCUUAGUUGGUGGAGCGAUUUGUCUGGUUAAUUCCGAUAACGAACGAGACUCUAGCCUAUUAAAUAGGCUCUCGGCUUUUAAACGCCGGGAGGACUUCUUAGAGGGACAGGUGGCGGUUCAGCCGCACGAAAGAGAGCAAUAACAGGUCUGUGAUGCCCUUUGUUGUCCGGGGCCGCACGCGCGCUACACUGAAGAGAUCAGCGUGCUUUACGUUCCUGCUCCGACCGGAGUGGGGAACCCAGUGAACCUUCUUCGUGAUUGGGAUAGAAGAUUGUAAUUAUUCUUCUUGAACGAGGAAUUCCCAGUAAAUGCGAGUCAUAAGCUCGCGUUGAUUACGUCCCUGCCCUUUGUACACACCGCCCGUCGCUACUACCGAUUGAACGAUUU
rnacentral:rRNA from 1 species